rnacentral:snRNA from 1 species
UUGCCUUAAACUAAUGAGUAAGGAAAACAAAGCGGGUGGCGGGAGCUGCCCGCAGCGCACGUAAUACAGUUUUAUGCGCACAUAAUUUUUGGAGGGAUUAUAGGCUGGCCAAGUUGUGGAUGCUGCUUACUUAUGCAGAACCCUCUUGUGCGGGCCUCCCUAUCCC